AGAGAGUAAUAAACUGAUCUGAAAUACCUUUUUUUUUUAUUCAUUUUAGGAUUUUGUUUAAUUAAUCCACCUAACAAACAAAAAUUACACCAAGAGCCACUUACUUAUGCAUACACAUGCCAUUUCCACAUUAACAUUCUUCUAAAACUGGGAGACUAUAUACAAGCAUUGAUUCCUUGCUGCUAAGUGCUAAGUUUGGUUUUUGCAUGGUCUGGAAAGCUGACUUCGCUCGCAAUAUAUGCACGUUAACACAUUCUGUAAACGCUUUACAGGUACUACCUUCAAGUGCACUUCAAUACCAUGAGAACAGCACCCCAAGUAACAUGAUCGAUGCAUUAGCAUUCAGCACACAAAGGGAAAAGAUUGGUCAUAUCAAAUUCGUAGUUGCUCUAUUACACUUGUGAGGGCUAUUAAUGUGCUUGAUCCUGUGACUAUCCAGCUUGGCUGGAAAGGGUGAUGUUGGCAUGUCCUUUGAUAUGUUUUUUUCUAAGGUGGUUAGAACCUCGAUCAUCUGUGGCCUAUUUUUGGAAUCUGUAUGCAGGCAUUGCAAUGCAAGUGCAGCUGCAGCUUGGGCUCCUUUCUUGGAGUACUGACCUCCCAAUCUGGUGUCCAUGAUUCUCAAAACUCGCCUGGGGUCACUCAGGAAAGGUUUUGCCCAAUCCACCAGAGUUUCUUCAACAAAAUUGGCUCUCUCAUCAUCCAUUGCCCUUCUUCCUGAUAGUAAUUCUAGCAUGACAACACCAAAGCUAUACACGUCGCUCUUUGGAGUCAAGUGACCUGUAGCUACAUAUUCUGGUGCAGCAUAACCCCGAGUUCCCACCACUUUGGUCGAAACAUGAGUGUUAUCUCCUGUAGGACCAUCUCUUGCUAGGCCAAAAUCUGAAAGCCUCGCAUUAUAAUCCGAAUCAAGUAGAAUAUUGGAUGCCUUCAAGUCACGAUAGAUUACAUUGGCAUUUAAACCAUGUAAGAAGGAUAAUCCCCUUGCUACAUCAAUGGCAAUGCGCAUCCGUGUAGCCCAGGGAAUAGGUUGAUCCCUUCUGAAUAAAUGACUCUCCAAACUUCCCUUGGGCAUAAACUCAUAAACUAGAAGUCUGUUCUCAGACUCAGCACAAUACCCAAUGAGCUUCACCAGAUUUUCAUGACGAAGCUGACCUAGAUAGUUAACUUCUGCAAGCCACUCCUUAUGGCCCUGAAAGCUUUCAGCCUUGAGCCUCUUUACUGCCACAACAAUCCCAGUUCCCGGUUUAGUAGGAGCUAAAGUAUUCUCAUCAAGCCAUCCUUUGAAAACGCACCCAAAACCACCCUCUCCAAGCAAUGUUUCGGAGCGAAAGUUCUUGGUGGCAUUCUUUAGGUCACUAAAGCUAAAGGACUUGAGAUUGCUGGGAACAGAUGCAUCAACCGUGCUUGUUAUCAAAGAUUUGUUGAAGCUUCCCAGUGAAGCUUGCUGGCAGGAAGAGGUUGAAUCCUGCUUCAACUCAUUAUUAUGAGACUUUUUGCUUCCAGAAGAAAAAUUAGUAGAAGAAGCAUGAGCGCACUUGGCUGGUUUUCUGCAGCAGUUUCCCAUAAUUAAUAUCAAAAAACUUCUUCUCCCACAGAACAAAAAGAAGAAGAGGAGUAAACUUGAAAUUUCUGAAAGGCAAGAAGGCCAAAUAAUAGUAACAAAAAAAGAGACAGAGGUAAAAGAGAAUGGUUAAAAGCGUCCAUUUGAUUUUAUUUGUUUAUUGACGGGAAUAAGAGAAAAGGAGGAGAAGUAGGAGGAGGAGAAGAAGGAGAUAAGCAGGCAAUCUGGUCAAUGAAGGAAACCUCCAUUAGCGUAUCAAAUUCAAUGCAACUGCCAGAGAGAAGGGACCCACGCAUUCAUAUCUGACUUUACACAAACACCACUACUACUACCUUACACAUAAAGACAGACAUAGCAAUGCAUAGGCCCCUCAGAGCCCUUCGUC
rnacentral:misc_RNA from 1 species